AUUGAACGCUGGCGGCAUGCCUUACACAUGCAAGUCGAACGGCAGCGGGCCUUCGGGUGCCGGCGAGUGGCGAACGGGUGAGUAAUGCAUCGGAACGUGCCAUUGAGUGGGGGAUAACGUAGCGAAAGUUACGCUAAUACCGCAUAUUCUGUGAGCAGGAAAGCAGGGGACCGCAAGGCCUUGCGCUCUUUGAGCGGCCGAUGUCAGAUUAGCUAGUUGGUGAGGUAAAGGCUUACCAAGGCGACGAUCUGUAGCGGGUCUGAGAGGAUGAUCCGCCACACUGGAACUGAGACACGGUCCAGACUCCUACGGGAGGCAGCAGUGGGGAAUUUUGGACAAUGGGCGCAAGCCUGAUCCAGCCAUGCCGCGUGAGUGAAGAAGGCC
rnacentral:rRNA from 1 species